UUGGGGCAAGCUCAGCCUGGGCCUAGAAUGUAAUCUCCCAUCUCCUGGGGACAGCCAUUGCCUCAUCCAGGGCAAGGGACCUGCUGGUUGAAGAUCAUGCAAUCAGGAAGUUAGUCUCAGCGGGCGGGCGUGAGGCUCAUUAGCCCAUCGGGGUGCCAUUGGGCAAGCCACUCAUUUCCCCAUCCUGUGGAGCCCCGAGACCAGAACACAGUGAACAGGCUGCAGGGUGCAGGGCCGGGGCGCAGGGUCUUUGCUUCGUAAUGGAAUGAGUUCUGAUAUCCACUUCGGGCUCCAAAUGUACCAAAGGCUUGUUCCGAGGGCAGGGGACAGUUAAGGGCUGCUACCCUAAUACCUAAACAGCACUUCUGUUUUUUUGCUUUAAUUCAAAAUGAAUUCCCUACCCCAUUUUUGGCGGGGUAGGGCAGUGCCAGGUGGAGACGAGGAAGGGAGACAGCCUCUCGUUCUUGUCCUGUUUCCCUCCUUCUCGGCUGUCCCUUGCCCUCCUGCCCUCCUUGUAUCCCUCCUUGUCCUAAAAAAGGGAUUUUGAGGUGGCUUAAGUAAGUCCACAAGACAUAUUCUUUUGUUUGGAAGGCGUCUCGGAUGUAGGUACAACAACGUGAUUUAUUUUGUGAGCGAGCAGGAUAGUGGGGGGAGUGUGUUUUGGAGGCCCAGGCAGAGCUGUCCUUGGUCUUUCUAGACUGACGUGGGCCCUUUAGAAGGCUCAGCCUCCCAGAUCUCCUCCCAGGGCCUCCCCCAGGGUGCUGCGGGCUGUGAGGGGCCGCAUGAGUCUGCUCGCUCUGCUGUAACAAAGUACGCUCCACCCUCUGUAUCCGCGGGUUCCACAUCCGGGGAUUCAACCAACUGUGGAUUGAACAUAUAUUUUUUAAAAGGGCGCAGCUUGAGGACAGCCCGACGGGCGGUCGCUUUGACGACGGAAGGUGGCUGAAGCCUGGGCCUCGAGUCAGCAUGAAUCGCCUGCUCUGCCUCAUUGCAACUCUGAGACCCCCACGCUGUGAAGUGUGGCCAGCCUUCUGGACAGCCACACGGGGAACUGAGGGGCCCAAGCCAACGGCCCGCACCAGCCGCUGCCAUGUGAGUGGGUCGCCUGGGACCCUCCACCCCGGUCAGGGCGUGACCCAGCGGAGACAGCGGCUGAACCCCCCAGAUGGCCACCCCACAGAAUGCAGGUGCUGCUGUGGGAGCCCCCAAUUCCCGAGCCUUUUGGGGGUGCCCCAUCCACCAGCUGCUGUGAGUGUGGGCUGCUGAUGGCUCACGAUCACCCCCUCCUGAGAGCUGCCCUCCCCUCACAGGGGCCCUGUGGCCCAGACACCCCUUUGGAGGGGAGACAGCCCGAGUCACGAGUCACGAUGGCUGUAAAGGUCACAGCAAACCAGCCCCCUGGCUUCAGGUGGAACAGACAGUGGGGGCAGCCCACACUCCUGGCUCCCUGUGGGGUGGGCCAAGGGGACUGACCCCAGGGGAGCCUCCUGGUCACUGCCUUCUCCCCUGCACUCCUGCUUUCCUGGUGUCUUCUUAAGGCUUCACCUGGCUGGGGAUCCCAUCUCAGGCUCUGCCUCCAGCCACCCCGAUUGAGUUAGAGGUUUGGAGAGUUUCGCUUGCAUCUUGAGGAAAGACUCUUCUAGGUGGGCUAUUGUUUCUCUAAUGUAUUCCUGGGUGGUAUUUGCUACUAUCUCACUUAUGGUAUUUGCAUCAAUAAUCAUAACGAAGAUGAGUUUAUUAUUUUUUUGUAUGUAUAUUUUCUCCAGAUAGGGUAUUUUAUGUGAUGAAUAAAAAUAAAUAUGAA